GAGUUUGAUCCUGGCUCAGGAUGAACGCUAGCGGGAGGCUUAAUACAUGCAAGUCGAGGGGCAGCAUAGGACUUCGGUUCUGAUGGCGACCGGCGCACGGGUGAGUAACGCGUACACUACCUACCUUUAACAGAGGGAUAGCCCUGGGAAACUGGGAUUAAUACCACAUAGUAUUGCAUAUUUUAUUUUUAUGCAAUUAAAGCUCCGGCGGUUAAAGAUGGGUGUGCGUUAGAUUAGCUAGUUGGUAAGGUAAUGGCUUACCAAGGCUACGAUCUAUAGGGGGCGUGAGAGCGUGGACCCCCACACGGGUACUGAGACACGGACCCGACUCCUACGGGAGGCAGCAGUAAGGAAUAUUGGACAAUGGGCGCAAGCCUGAUCCAGCCAUCCCGCGUGAAGGAUGACGGCCCUAUGGGUUGUAAACUUCUUUUAUUAGGGAAGAAACCUUUUCAUUUAUGAAGAGCUGACGGUACCUAAAGAAUAAGCACCGGCUAACUCCGUGCCAGCAGCCGCGGUAAUACGGAGGGUGCAAGCGUUAUCCGGAAUCACUGGGUUUAAAGGGUGCGUAGGCGGAUAAAUAAGUCAGAGGUGAAAGCUUUCCGCUUAACGGGAAAAUUGCCUUUGAAACUGUUUAUCUUGAAUUAUGUUGAGGUUAGCGGAAUGUGACAUGUAGCGGUGAAAUGC
rnacentral:rRNA from 1 species